UACGGAGGAUGCAAGCGUUAUCCGGAAUGAUUGGGCGUAAAGCGUCCGUAGGUGGCCUCAUAAGUCCGCUGUGAAAGUCAAAGGCUCAACCUUUGAAAGCCGGUGGAUACUGUGAGGCUAGAGUACGGAAGAGGCGAGUGGAAUUCCUGGUGUAGCGGUGGAAUGCGCAGAUAUCAGGAGGAACACCAAUAGCGAAGGCAGCUCGCUGGGACGUUACUGACACUGAGGCGCGAAAGCGUGGGGAGCGAACAGG
rnacentral:rRNA from 1 species